GGACUACCCGGGUAUCUAAUCCUGUUUGCUCCCCACGCUUUCGUGUAUCAGCGUCAGUUGCCAGUCCAGCAAGCCGCCUUCGCCACUGGUGUUCUUCCUAAUAUCUACGCAUUUCACCGCUACACUAGGAAUUCCGCUUGCCUCUCCUGUACUCUAGCCAUCCAGUUUCUCAUGCAAUGCCCGGGUUAAGCCCGGGUGUUUCACAUGUGACUUAAUUGGCCGCCUACUCACCCUUUACACCCAGUAAUUCCGGAUAACGCUUGCCCCCUACGUAUUACCGCGGCUGCUGGCAC
rnacentral:rRNA from 1 species